rnacentral:rRNA from 1 species
CUCGUCUCCUUUGGCACGCCGUGCAUCCGUGAGGCGCGGCCCGCUUUAGGUGCACCUGGAAAAAAAAGGCGACAGGUAAUUGGCGCCUCUCUAGUCCCAUCGCCCGCGCCGCGCCGCUCAGGAAAAGAAGGGAAAAGGAUCCAUCCCCGCUCCGAGUCCGAUCCAUCCGAUCCAACCACCGCCUUCCCAUCCCGGCCGUGCAACGCCACGCCAGGACGCCACGCAGGGAGGCGGAGGAGCAGGGCAGGAGGGAUCCCCACAAAAACAGCGGCACCAGCGGCAGCGAGCCGGGUUAGACAGAGGAGUCACGCGACGAGCGAGCGAGCGAGCGAGAAAAACGAGGCGAGAGCUCCGACCCAGCCAAGCCCGAAUCUGAAUGGCCUCCGCCACCCCGGCGGUGCCCGACCCCGCCCUCGGCCUCCGCCACCCCGGCGCUCUCGCCCGCCGCAUCGCCAUGGCGCGCGGCGCCGCCGUCGCGCCAGCGCUCCGUCCCUGGCUCCUCUUCGACGCCGUGCCCCUCGUCGUCGUCGUCCUCAUCGCCGCGCACGUCCUCGCCCUCGGCUACUGGAUCUACAGGCUCGCCACCGACGGGUCCAAGCACCCUGCGCGGAGCAAGAAACACUAGACAGCAGCCGCAGGCCCGCAGUGGCUGCCUGGAUGCUUGUAGCUUGUUAGCCGUCUAGGUUUUUGCAUCUCUGCUUGUCAAUCUCCAAGGUUUCCCGUGUAAAGUGAUGGCGUGGCGAAACUCAUGAAAGAAGUGGAGGUAGGAAACCUGUCACUCGGAUUGAUCUGUUCAGAUGUUGGUUUCGAAUCGUGGCGUGAGCUGGUGCGUGGAAAGGACCUUCUAUGGCCAUACAUAGCAUAUUGAGUUGUUGAAAAGAUCUGUCUACUCAUAGAUGAUGUUUCUGUGUAAAAGACCAUUAGCUAGAUAAGUGCUCCCAUUUUCAUCUGAUGUGGGCUUGUAUAAUCUUUACGAGAGCAUCUUUUUCUUUGCCCCUGACCAUGUAAGGUUGGCAUGGAAGUUUCUACCCUGUCUGAACAAGUUGGUCAUGGCACUGCAACUGCUUGCUCAUGUGCGCACCUCCAUGACAAUUAUCCCUCCUGAUUAUGUUGGAUGUCUGAACAAGAUUGUCCAGCAUAUAAGACUAGUGUACAUCCC